GGAGACAGGUGCUGCAUGGCUGUCGUCAGCUCGUGUCGUGAGAUGUUGGGUUAAGUCCCGCAACGAGCGCAACCCUUGCCUUAGUUGCCAGCAGUUCGGCUGGGCACUCUAAAGGGACUGCCGGUGUUAAACCGGAGGAAGGUGGGGAUGACGUCAAGUCCUCAUGGCCUUUAUGACCAGGGCUACACACGUACUACAAUGGCCGAUACAAAGGGCAGCGACACUGCGAGGUGAAGCCAAUCCCGUAAAAUCGGUCUCAGUCCGGAUUGGAGUCUGCAACUCGACUCCAUGAAGUUGGAAUCGCUAGUAAUCGCGGAUCAGAACGCCGCGGUGAAUACGUUCUCGGGGUUU
rnacentral:rRNA from 1 species